GACAGAGGUUGCAAACGUUGUUCGGAAUCACUGGGCAUAAAGCGCACGUAGGCGGUCUGUUAAGUCAGGUGUGAAAGCCCCCGGCUCAACCGGGGAAUUGCAUUUGAUACUGGCAGGCUCGAGAACGGUAGGGGUGAGUGGAACUCCAGGUGGAGCGGUGAAAUGCGUAGAUAUCGAGAGGAACACCUGCGGCGAAGGCGGGUUGCUGGGCUGAUACUGACGCUGAGGCGCGAAAGCCAGGGGAGCGAACGGG
rnacentral:rRNA from 1 species